rnacentral:lncRNA from 1 species
ACACUUUCAGGGGGAACCAUUAGGAGACGAUUUUUUGCUGGUUGUUUUAGAGGAAAGAGGGGGGAGAUUCUCAUUUGGGCUGAGGAGGUCUUCUGGGUAGAGGGGGAAGAAGGGGACCGCACUAGUUUUAUUGAUUUCGGAGGGCAAGAAUCGAGAGGAGGAAGAAGAAAGGGAGCUAGUUGGGAUUUUAUUAGGAAGGAAAGGAAAGAGGAAAGCUAGGAAGCUUAGUGGGCUUCAAUCAAGAGGUGUUUCUU